AUCCCAUGGUGUGGGCAUUUUGUCAAAAUUCCUUGAACCUUUCCCAUGCUUUAAACAAAGUCUCUGAGUCU
rnacentral:snoRNA from 1 species